rnacentral:rRNA from 1 species
UAGUAGCGGCGAGCGAGCGGGAAGAGCUCAAAUUUAUAAUCUGGCACCUUCGGUGUCCGAGUUGUAAUCUCUAGAAGUGUUUUCCGCGUUGGACCGCACACAAGUCUGUUGGAAUACAGCGGCAUAGUGGUGAAACCCCCGUAUAUGGUGCGGACGCCCAGCGCUUUGUGAUACACUUUCAAUGAGUCGAGUUGUUUGGGAAUGCAGCUCAAAUUGGGUGGUAAAUUCCAUCUAAAGCUAAAUAUUGGCGAGAGACCGAUAGCGAACAAGUACCGUGAGGGAAAGAUGAAAAGCACUUUGGAAAGAGAGUUAACAGUACGUGAAAUUGUUGGAAGGGAAACGCUUGAAGUCAGACUUGCUUGCCGGAGCUUGCUUCGGUUUGCAGGCCAGCAUCAGUUUUCCGGGGUGGAUAAUGACGGUUUGAAGGUAGCAGUCUCGGCUGUGUUAUAGCUUUCCGUUGGAUACAUCCUGGGGGACUGAGGAACGCAGCGUGCUUUUUGCGAAAGACUCGUCUUUUUCACGCUUAGGAUGCUGGUGGAAUGGCUUUAAACGACCCGU